rnacentral:rRNA from 1 species
UACGUAGGGGGCUAGCGUUGUCCGGAUUUAUUGGGCGUAAAGAGCUCGUAGGUGGUUCGGUAAGUCGGAUGUGAAAUCUCCAGGCUCAACCUGGAGGGGUCAUUCGAUACUGCCGUGACUAGAGUUCGGUAGAGGAGUGUGGAAUUCCUGGUGGAGCGGUGAAAUGCGCAGAGAUCAGGAGGAACACCGGUGGCGAAGGCGGCCCUCUGGACGGUGACUGACGCUGAGACGCGAAAGCGUGGGGAGCAAACAGG